GACGUAGGGUCCAAGCGUUGUCCGGAUUUAUUGGGCGUAAAGAGCUCGUAGGCGGUUCGAUAAGUCGGACGUGAAAUCUCCACGCUCAACGUGGAGGGGCCGUUCGAUACUGUCGUGACUCGAGUCCGGUAGGGGAGUGUGGAAUUCCCGGUGUAGCGGUGAAAUGCGCAGAUAUCAGGAGGAACACCGGUGGCGAAGGCGGGUCUCUGGGCCGAUACUGACGCUGAGGAGCGAAAGCGUGGGGAGCGAACAGG
rnacentral:rRNA from 1 species